rnacentral:rRNA from 1 species
UACGGAGGGGGCGAGCGUUGUCCGAAGUUACUGGGCGUAAAGCGCGCGUAGGCGGGUUGGUAAGUCCGCUGUGAAAGCCCGGAGCUUAACUCCGGAGGGUCGGUGGAUACUGCCAGUCUUGAAGGUGCUAGGGGGAGAUGGAAUUACCGGUGUAGCGGUGAAAUGCUUAGAUAUCGGUAGGAACACCAGUGGCGAAGGCGGUCUCCUGGGGCAUUCUUGACGCUGAGGCGCGAAAGCUGGGGGAGCAAACGGG